AGAGUUUGAUCCUGGCUCAGGAUGAACGCUAGCGGCAGGCUUAACACAUGCAAGUCGAGGGGCAGCAUAAUGGAUAGCAAUAUCUAUGGUGGCGACCGGCGCACGGGUGCGUAACGCGUAUGCAACCUACCUUUAACAGGGGGAUAACACUGAGAAAUUGGUACUAAUACCCCAUAAUAUCAUAGAAGGCAUCUUUUAUGGUUGAAAAUUCCGAUGGUUAGAGAUGGGCAUGCGUUGUAUUAGCUAGUUGGUGGGGUAACGGCUCACCAAGGCGACGAUACAUAGGGGGACUGAGAGGUUAACCCCCCACACUGGUACUGAGACACGGACCAGACUCCUACGGGAGGCAGCAGUGAGGAAUAUUGGUCAAUGGACGCAAGUCUGAACCAGCCGUGCCGCGUGCAGGAUAACGGCUCUAUGAGUUGUAAACUGCUUUUGUACGAGGGUAAACGCAGAUACGUGUAUCUGUCUGAAAGUAUCGUACGAAUAAGGAUCGGCUAACUCCGUGCCAGCAGCCGCGGUAAUACGGAGG
rnacentral:rRNA from 1 species